GACAGAGGUGCCGAGCGUUAGGCGGAAUCACUGGGCUUAAAGCGUGUGUAGGCGGGUCGUUAAGUGUCUUGUGAAAUCCCACCGCUCAACGGUGGAACUGCUGGGCAUACUGGCGAUCUUGAGCCACCUAGGGGCAGACGGAACAAGCGGUGGAGCGGUGAAAUGCGUAGAGAUCGGGAAGAACACCAACGGCGAAAGCACUCUGCUGGGCCGACACUGACACUGAGAGACGAAAGCUAGGGGAGCGAAUGGG
rnacentral:rRNA from 1 species